ensembl:lncRNA
AUAUUAACUGAGAGUUCCCUUUUCUCCUUUGUUGGUUUAAUUCUCUUCCAUGCCUACCUCACCCCACCCCUCACACAAAAAACAAAACAAAAAUGUUUUAUAGAACUCAGCAGAAAUGAACCUGUGAUUGAGACAUUAUGGCCAUUACUUGCUUCAUUUCAAGUGGAUUCCUUCCUUCCAUCAUUCCGGACUUCAGCUUACUAUUAACUAAAAUUACAUGAGAGUUCAGUUCUGCCUGGGAAGUGAGCAACUGAAGAGCUGAAGAUAAAGCCCACAAUACCUGAGACUGAUGUUCUCCUGAGUUAUGGGGAUGUUAGAAAUUCAAGAACAGAGCUGCUGGAAUUCACUGUCCAGUGUCCAGUCAUACAAGUCAAGAAGAACUGCAGUCUGCUGCCUUCCAUUUUGAGCCUAACCACUAAUAAAAGAUGCCUGCAGAUCCUGAUAGUGACGAUAACCUCUAAUCCUGCUCUUUCUAGCCGAAGGAAAAUUAUAAGGUGGAAUGAAAAAGAGAUGAAAACUCCCAGCAAAAUGAUGACAUGUCAGUCCUUUUUAAACAUGUUUGGAAGACUCUUUACAAUGGCCCCUGUUGAUUUUUAAACACCCAAAAUGUGCAAAUCAUUGCAUUAUUUUUCAUCAUGCCAGAAAGUGUUUGAAUUUUUAUUUUUGUGGGGCCGGAACAGAUGAAUUCCUAGAAAAGAAGCUGGCACCGUGCCAUCUCUCAGAAGUUGAUGUGGGUGAGGAUCCAUGAGGUGACUAGUAAGGUAUAUUGUGUUACCAUUUACAAAUAACUUUGUCAUCCACCAUCCCACCAUUAUCCUAUAAGAGAAAGAGUCAGGGUCACAUCAAUGAGAAUGAUCCAGAGAAACAGUGUCAAGUCCCUGUUGCACAGUUAAGCUGAAGCAGUCAACAAGCAGAUAACCAAGAGGUCAGAAUCCAAAAAUAUUGAACACAGGUUAGAAGAAAGGAAUAAAAUGGUCUAAAGCAAGCAGGUCAAAGACACAAACACCAUUUCCACAAGGACAGAGAUGUAUCUUUUGUUUCCUUAUUUUACUCCAUACCAAGAAAGUCCUCCAAUAUUCACUGAAUGAAUGAGUGAAUGAAUGCAUCAUCAUGGUGUGCAGUUAUUUUUAUGGUGCCAACUGUAUGGCAUUGGAAGCCUGGGAAGUACACUGGCCUCAAAGUGCAAAGGAUUUAAAGAGCUAGACACUAAUCCCCCAGGGAUCAAGGCUGCAUAUCCUCCCUGCUGGACACUGAACUGCUGCCCUCCCCUCCAGUCUCCAUGGUUUGGUUUUCUUCCUGCCCUUUGAGGCCCUGCAUUGCUAUUCUCAUGCUGCAGUGUAAUCUUCCAGUUCUCCGACUUCCUGGCUGAAUGUGAUGCAGUAUAAGGUGCACAAUAACAGCUCGGGAGUGACACUACAUGAUCCUGCCCUAAGGAUUCUCCCACAGAGGCUACCCUGCCACCUUGUACAGCCUGCCACUUAAUGCCAGAAGAAAUGAGAGACGAGCACAGCUCACUGGAGUGUCAGGUACAAAGCUGUAAGAAGCACAGAGAUGUGCCGACCAAACGCUGUUGGUAUUUCAGGACAUGAACGAACAGGGCCCAUCUGCCUCUCCAGCUUCUGCCCAUCUGUCAGUACCACCGCGUACCAUGGGCACCCAGAGCAGCCUUUCAAAUGCUUUUUCUGAGCGUCAUGCUAAGUAUCCAGUUUGAAAAGAAAACUGGCUAUGAAAACUGAGCGGCAGAUAAUUCCCUAAGCUCUUUCCCCCUAAUUAUGGUGCACAGAGACAGCCAAAGAAACAAAGACUCAGGCCUUCUGUUGAUUCUCCCUGAUGCCUCAUCUGAAGUCUAGAUGUCAAAGGCGAAAACCCCAGGAUCCUUAUGACAAUCCACUUUAGGUUUCUGAUUUUGACAAGGAAGCCAUAAUCUGGUGGUCUAACCCCUGAGGAAGAAUGCACGAAGGAAUGAAAAUCAAGUUGAAGAAUCGAUCAAAUAAAAAAGAGACACUAAAUGUGAAUCAUCUACUCCUUGGAUGUAAAGGAGGCCAAAAGACCAAGAGAACAUAUUAUUAAAGAUUAAGUUCAAAAGCCAUCGGUCAAGGUGUGAAACAGAGAGGCUAAGAAUAGACUUGUGGCUGCCAAUGGACGGAAGACCAUAUUUGGCCUCUAAACAAACACAAUAGAAUAUUACUCUGAAGAAUUGACUUAG